GCAGGCUCCUCCAAGAGUUCAUGGCAAACUCGCUUGGAAAGGGGAAUUUGUCACACUGAGUUUAUUAUUUUUCCUCAUAACCCUGAUCCUCCUCCUUCAUUCUCCCUGCAGGUUGACUGUACCUGCCUCACCCCAUUCUUUCAAGAUCGCUGUCUUGGUGUCACUUUUGAUCCUGGCCUCAGCUUUGCACCUUAUGUCCAGUCUGUUGCUAAAAUCUGUCGAUUCCAACUUAAAAACAUUGCUCGCAUACACCCUUUUCUUAAGCAAGAUGCUGCCAAGGAGCUUGUUCACGCUCUAGUAAUCUCUCGCAUCAAUUACUGUAAUUCUCUUCUAAUUGGUCUCCCCAGAAGCCGCCCCUUACAAUCUGUGGUGAAUGCUGCUUUCUCUCCUGUCACUCCUCUCACACCUCACCCCUCUUUUGAUCCUUACACUGGAUUCCUGUCUCCUACAGGUGUCAAUUUAAAAUACUAACCAUUACCUAUAAACCUAUAACCCCUCUAACAUUUCUUCAGUUAUUCAUAGGUAUGCCCCCUCUUGGGCUCUCCGCUCUACUGGCGACCUUCUUUCUGCUGCUCGCAGCCUUACUGCAAAUUCACGCCUGCAAGACUUCUCACGGGCGGCUCCUUUCUUUUGGAACAGCCUCCCUACCCCUGUCAGACUCUCUCCUAGUUCUCAAUCAUUUAAAAAGUCCCUCAAAACCCAUCUUUUCAGGAUUGAUUAUGUCCUCUCUCUCUCUCUCCUAUAGGGUCACACUCCACUCUCCCUUCCAGUUCUGCUACUUUGCCACCAUGUCUCUCAAUACCCUUCCUAUUGUGUUUUUAUACCCCACCUCCUGUAGACUGUAAGCUUGUUUGAGCAGAGUCCUCAACUACCUAUUCCUGUUAUAUUUUGUUAUUGUCUCAUUUGGUAAAUUCCCCUUUUAUUGUAAUGCGCUGCGGAAUAAGCUGGCGCUAUAUAAAUACCAAUUAUAAUUGUACAUGUCUAGCCUCCUUAGUGUAUUUUUGGUUCUUGCGUAAAUGGUGUGUAUGAAUAUAAUUUCAGGUUUGGUGUUCAGGGAUGUCUUUUAUAUGGUGUGUUUGCAAGUUGUGUUGGUGUUUGAUUGCUAGGAUGUCUGCACAUGCACACUUACACAGAUAUACAUACACAUAAACUAACACACAGAUACACACAAUGGCACAUACAUACACUGACAAAUAUACUGAAGCACAUAGACAUGGAUACACACUUUGGCACAAAUAAAUCCACACAUAAACAUUUGCUGUGUGUGUGUGUGUGUGUGUGUGUGUGUGUAUAUAUGUAU